AAUCCUUCGGGAUUAGUGGCGGACGGGUGAGUAACGCGUGAGAAUCUGCCUCGAGGAUGGGGACAACAGUUGGAAACGACUGCUAAAACCCAAUAUGGCGAAAGCUGAAAUAUUUAUAGCCUUGAGAGGAGCUCGCGUCCGAUUAGUUAGUUGGUGGGGUAAAAGCCUACCAAGGCAGCGAUCGGUAGCUGGUCUGAGAGGAUGAGCAGCCACACUGGGACUGAGACACGGCCCAGACUCCUACGGGAGGCAGUAGUGGGGAAUUUUCCGCAAUGGGCGAAAGCCUGACGGAGCAAUACCGCGUGAGGGAGGGAGGCUUUUGGGUUGUAAACCUCUUUUAAUAAGGAAGAAGAAAGUGGCGGUACUUAUUGAAUAAGCAUCGGCUAACUCCGUGCCAGCAGCCGCGGUAAUACGGAGGAUGCAAGCGUUAUCCGGAAUCAUUGGGCGUAAAGCGUCCGCAGGUGGUCAGUCAAGUCUGCUGUUAAAGACAGAAGCUCAACUUCUGAAUGGCGGUGGAAACUGGCUGACUAGAGUAUGGUAGGGGUUGAGGGAAUUCCCAGUGUAGCGGUGAAAUGCGUAGAUAUUGGGAAGAACACCAGUGGCGAAGGCGCUUUACUGGGCUAUUACUGACACUCAGAGACGAAAGCUAGGGUAGCAAAUGGGAUUAGAUACCCCUGUAGUCCUAGCUGUAAACGAUGAAUACUAGAUGUUGAAUGUAUCGACCCUGUGCAGUGUCGUAGCUAACGCGUUAAGUGUCCCGCCUGGGGAAGUACGCUCGCAAGAGUGAAACUCAAAGGAAU
rnacentral:rRNA from 1 species